rnacentral:rRNA from 1 species
CCAAACAUUAGGGCAGCUACAAUGCAGUCGAGCGAUCGCUUCAGAAGAGGGUCGGACGGGUGAGUAACGCGAGGGUAACCUGCCCUGUACACACCGAGAACAUACCGAAGGGUAUACUAAUACGGGAUAACAUAUGAUAGUCGCAUGGCUUUUGUAUCAAAGCUCCGGCGGUACAGGAUGGACCCGCGUCUGAUUAGCUAGAUGGUAAGGUAAUGGCUUACCUAGGCAACGAUGAAUAGCCGACCUGAGAGGGUGAUCGGCCACCCAGGAACUGAGACACGGUCCAGACUCCUACCGGAGGCAGCAGUGGGGAAUAUUGCACAAUGGGCGAAAGCCUGAUGCCCCAACGCCGCGUGAGCGAUGAAGGCCUUCGGGUCGUAAAGCUCUGUCCUCUUCGAAGAUAAUGACUGUGCUUGAGGAGGAAACCCCGGCUAACUACAUGCCACUGGCCGCUUGAAUACACCUGGGGCUAGCGUUAUCCGGAAUUACUGGGCGUAAAGGGUGCGUAGGUGGUUUUUUAAGUCAGAAGUGAAAGGCUACGGCUCAACCGUAGUAAGCUUUUGAAACUAAAGAACUUGGUUGCAGGAGAGGAGAGUAGAAUUCCUAGUGUUUGGAAGAAAUGCGAAUAUAUUACGAGGAAUACCAGUAGCGAAGGCGGCUCUCUGGACUGUAACUGACACUGAGGGACGAACACCGUGGGGAGCAAACAAGAUUAGAUACCCUGGUAGUCCAUGACGUACACAAUCGAGUACUAGGUGUCGGGAGUUACUCCCCUCGGUGCCGCAGCUAACACCUAUAAAUACUCCGCCCUGGGGAGGACUCCUCGCCAUAAAUGAAACUCAAUAGAAUUAGUCGGGCAACCCCGCCCAAGUAAG